rnacentral:lncRNA from 1 species
UAGACUUAAGAAAUAGAUGGUUUGAGUUGUUGAAAAAAAAAAUCGUAGGGGACCUAAAAGGGUGUCCCUCAAUAGAUGAGCUGGUAGUAAGCUGGCAAUGACAGAUGACAGAUGAAUUACAUGUGCAAUUACAAAGUUGUCAAGGAAAACUAAAAAACUUAGCUAAACAUAACCUAACAACAGUUCUUGGGUUUCCUUUUCCCUUGGAUUCAAGCAGAGAGAGAUGCGAGGAGAAUCUUAAGUUAAAGAGAUAUGGGAAAGGAAAUGGCGAGCAAAAGAGAGUGUAUGAGAGUGUCACCAGAAUGUAUCUGAAUUUUUUUUUUUUAUAUGGUAUUUUUAGUUUGACCUAAAACAAGGAAGUUUGUUUUGAGCGAUUAUGGAUCCAAUGCAGCUCACCAAAUGGCCCCACUAAGGUUAAGAAACAGUUAUUAAUUCAAAUUGGCCUGAGUUUUUUCUUGUGUUAAUUCACAUCUUUCUAGAUCUGAUUAGUAUUUGGAAUAGUGAAACUUUAAUUCAAUGGAUCCAUGUCAUGAGUAGCUCUGAUAACGCCCUUGGGCUAUGUUUGGUAGGCUGGACUCGACCAGAUUUCUCCAAUUCAAAUGGACUAAAAUCCUAUCUGUUGUUUGGUGGGCCUAAAUGCACACUGGGAUUAGUUGGGCUUCAUAUGUUGAUUGAAUACCAAUCCAGUAAACGAGGGAUUUAUAAACCCAAGCGGAAACAUGGGUUUCGAAGCAUCCGCCUCCAGCUUUCACUGCGUACGAGCACCUCCUUCUUCUCAUGGUAUUUUUUUCUUCUUUUCAUUCUCCCCUGUGACUUCAACACCUCUUUGGCUCCGUUUGGU